rnacentral:rRNA from 1 species
GACGAACGCUGGCGGCGUGCUUAACACAUGCAAGUCGAGCGGGGACAUAUUCGGAAGCCUUCGGGUGGAAGGAUGUGUUCUAGCGGCGGACGGGUGAGUAACGCGUGAACAAUCUGUCCCAGACAGGGGGAUAACACUUGGAAACAGGUGCUAAUACCGCAUAAGACCACGAAGUCGCAUGGCUUUGGGGUAAAAGGAGCAAUCCGGUUUGGGGUGAGUUCGCGUCUGAUUAGCUAGUUGGUGGGGUAAAGGCUCACCAAGGCAACGAUCAGUAGCCGACCUGAGAGGGUGAUCGGCCACACUGGAACUGAGACACGGUCCAGACUCCUACGGGAGGCAGCAGUGGGGAAUAUUGGGCAAUGGGCGAAAGCCUGACCCAGCAACGCCGCGUGAGGGAAGAAGGCUUUCGGGUUGUAAACCUCUGUCCUCAGGGAAGAAGGAAGUGACGGUACCUGAGGAGGAAGCCCCGGCUAACUACGUGCCAGCAGCCGGGUAACAC